GAACUUAACCAUAACUCCAUGCAAUGAUGUACCACGAUAAUUUUCUCUAAAUCACAAUUCAUGUAACUUGUUAAUCCAUGAGAUGACCCUUGAAUGACCGAUGCUACCCCUAAUUAGGAUCUCCGCCAUUGCCGAAGUACCGUCAACCACUUGUUGAUUCCAUCAAUGACUCUUCUUCCAUCGGGACCGGGCCAUUGGUCCGGAGAUUUUGUGACAUAGAAUUUGUAUUUGGGGUACGGUAUCUGGAACAUAGAACGGUAGAAGCAGGUGAAAGUUGAGCCUUGGAAUUCUUAUUUCAUGUAGGGUAUUGUCCUUCCUCUUUGCCAUGGCCGUGACACACUGUUGAACCAAUUAGAUCUUGCACUGUAUGGUGUGAUUUUCUUUUUCUUUUUCUUUUUCUUUUUUAAUAUUUCUUGCUUGUGCGGGCCAAACCACCAAAAUAUUGUUUUCUAAUUAGAUUUCCACAUUUUUCGGUUCCUGCUCAUCUGAUUGAGUCUUCCAAAGUAUAUAGAUCGCAUUAGCAAUCAGCCAAAACAUAAACAUAACCAGAAUCAAGUGAAAAAAACUCAUCAAUUACUUUACUAAAAAACAUGGAACUGCCAAUUUCCUCAACAUAAAAGAGACUAGUAGCUAAACAAACACGUAGUCAACAGCAAAAGAAAAG